CUAAUCUGCGAUAAGCGUCGGUAAGGUGAUAUGAACCGUUAUAACCGGCGAUUUCCGAAUGGGGAAACCCAGUGUGAUUCGUCACACUAUCAUUAACUGAAUCCAUAGGUUAAUGAGGCGAACCGGGGGAACUGAAACAUCUAAGUACCCCGAGGAAAAGAAAUCAACCGAGAUUCCCCCAGUAGCGGCGAGCGAACGGGGAGGAGCCCAGAGCCUGAAUCAGUGUGUGUGUUAGUGGAAGCGUCUGGAAAGGCGCGCGAUACAGGGUGACAGCCCCGUACACAAAAAUGCACAUGCUGUGAGCUCGAUGAGUAGGGCGGGACACGUGGUAUCCUGUCUGAAUAUGGGGGGACCAUCCUCCAAGGCUAAAUACUCCUGACUGACCGAUAGUGAACCAGUACCGUGAGGGAAAGGCGAAAAGAACCCCGGCGAGGGGAGUGAAAAAGAACCUGAAACCGUGUACGUACAAGCAGUGGGAGCCUCUUUAUGGGGUGACUGCGUACCUUUUGUAUAAUGGGUCAGCGACUUAUAUUCUGUAGCAAGGUUAACCGAAUAGGGGAGCCGAAGGGAAACCGAGUCUUAACUGGGCGUUAAGUUGCAGGGUAUAGACCCGAAACCCGGUGAUCUAGCCAUGGGCAGGUUGAAGGUUGGGUAACACUAACUGGAGGACCGAACCGACUAAUGUUGAAAAAUUAGCGGAUGACUUGUGGCUGGGGGUGAAAGGCCAAUCAAACCGGGAGAUAGCUGGUUCUCCCCGAAAGCUAUUUAGGUAGCGCCUCGUGAAUUCAUCUCCGGGGGUAGAGCACUGUUUCGGCAAGGGGGUCAUCCCGACUUACCAACCCGAUGCAAACUGCGAAUACCGGAGAAUGUUAUCACGGGAGACACACGGCGGGUGCUAACGUCCGUCGUGAAGAGGGAAACAACCCAGACCGCCAGCUAAGGUCCCAAAGUCAUGGUUAAGUGGGAAACGAUGUGGGAAGGCCCAGACAGCCAGGAUGUUGGCUUAGAAGCAGCCAUCAUUUAAAGAAAGCGUAAUAGCUCACUGGUCGAGUCGGCCUGCGCGGAAGAUGUAACGGGGCUAAACCAUGCACCGAAGCUGCGGCAGCGACGCUUAUG
rnacentral:rRNA from 1 species